UAGUUUAUUUUCUUUUAUUUUGUUCUACGCGUAAUAUAUCUUAAGUUAUACAUAAUAUUCAUUAAAAAUAUAUUUAUAUAUCUAAGACAACAACCACCUAAAUGCAAAUAAGAAUUAAUCAAAUUUUAAUAUAUUUAGAAAAAAAAAUAAUACACUUGAAUUUAUAGAUGCAAUCAAAUUUACCCAAAUGAUAAUUAAAUCGACUGUAAAAACAACAAAACCGAUUAUAUAUAACAUAUAUAAAAUCAUAUGUAUAACAAAAGUAAUAUAAUAUUAUUAAUAUAAAUGAUGCAUACAAAUUAUAAAUUAAUUUAAAUCAAAACUAAAUAGCAAUCAAUUAUUAUAAUAUAUUUAUUUUAGAAAUAUUUAUACCCGUGCAUGAGAUAUAUAAUCAGUGUAUUUAUAAGGAGUGCCUAGAUUGGGGAAUCAAAAUAGGUGAAAUGAGAACAAAAAAAUAACAACAAAUUAUAGCAUCAUACAAACCGCGCAUAGCAUCAUUUACCAAAAUAAUAUAACAACAGUUGAAUCCAAUAACAUCAACCAUAACCAGUAUUUUAAAAUGAGAUGCACUACUCCUUACAUAUAAAAAUAGUUACAAUACAAUUUCACCACAAAAUUACUAUCUCAAAAUAAAAAUAUGCAAAUUUAAUUAAAUUUAAUAAUAUUAUAGGAAAAAAUCCGGGCGUAGCCCGGAAAACCCUCUAGUUAAUGUAAUAUUACCAUUUUAUAUACAGUUUAACUUCUUUAAAUUAAUAUUUUAUAAAUUAAUAUACACUAAAGAUCUCUAUAAAAUAAUAUAAUUUUAUAGUUCCAAAUUGAAUUUUUGGUUUAAUAAGUACAUCGAUAAAGUAAUAUUUCUAUAAAUUAAUAAAAAAAAAUAUAGUUUUGGUGUAGUCUCAACAUUAUUAAUUUAUAGAGAUUUCACUGUAAUUGGUUAAAUAAAUAAAUUUGAAAAUAUACAAUAUAAAAAAAACAAUAUACAAUAUUACAUUUUUUAAAUAUUGUUUUACCUUGUGUGAUUUGUUUUCAUCAUUCUGUAAUUUUCAUGUGUUUGUUCGCUACAUGCUCGUAAGAGGCACCUUGAUCUUUGAAAAGUGCUCUGUUUGUUUCCAUUUUAGUUCUACUUCUUUCAUCCAAUGAAGGCUUAUCAGUAUUUUUGUGUCUGUUUCUGGUAAAGGUGGUGGUCGUGACUCGUGAGCAAGAGCUGGUGUUGUGCAGAGGAAAUGUCUCAAACUCGUCUCCUUCUAGACUCAAACGAAUGUUGCAGUCUCUCACUGGAAUGCCAAGUGCAACCUUUGAAGCUAAAACAUUGCUCUAUACGGCAGACUUUAAGACAAUCGUGCUUAAGUAUGGGUGUUGAGAUAAGUUAUCGUGUACUGAUUGGUCCCAGUCUCAAGUAUGGGUGUAUGUCCUCAAAUCAUUGUAUUUAGCAACACUUGUUUUGUGUGCUUUUCAGAUACUGCGGAAGCUUGAGGAAAGUGGAAGAGACAGAUGAACCUUGAGGAAGGUCGAAGUGAAACAAGGAGCUUGAGGAAGGCGGCGGCUUAGGUUUAGGUUUAGGGUUAAUUAGCUUUUGUUUAAUAUGUACUGGACCUACUGGUUUAGUUUUGUAAAAUUACUUUUAUUUGUAAACUGAUUUUAAUUAAUAAAUAAAAUUUCAUUUU